rnacentral:snoRNA from 1 species
UGGACCAAUGAUGAUGACUGGUGGCGUAUGAGUCUUCUGCGAUGAAUACGUGGGAAUCUGAGGUCCAA